GACGAACGCUGGCGGCGUGCUUAACACAUGCAAGUCGAACGGUAAGGCCCUUCGGGGUACACGAGUGGCGAACGGGUGAGUAACACGUGGGUGAUCUGCCCUGCACUUCGGGAUAAGCCUGGGAAACUGGGUCUAAUACCGGAUAGGACCAUGGACUUCACGGUUUGUGGUGGAAAGCUUUUGCGGUGUGGGAUGGGCCCGCGGCCUAUCAGCUUGUUGGUGGGGUAAUGGCCUACCAAGGCGACGACGGGUAGCCGGCCUGAGAGGGUGUCCGGCCACACUGGGACUGAGAUACGGCCCAGACUCCUACGGGAGGCAGCAGUGGGAAUAUUGCACAAUGGGCGCAAGCCUGAUGCAGCGACGCCGCGUGA
rnacentral:rRNA from 1 species